UAGGGAAUCUUCCGCAAUGGGCGAAAGCCUGACGGAGCAACGCCGCGUGAGUGAUGAAGGUCUUCGGAUCGUAAAACUCUGUUAUUAGGGAAGAACAAAUGUGUAAGUAACUAUGCACGUCUUGACGGUACCUAAUCAGAAAGCCACGGCUAACUACGUGCCAGCAGCCGCGGUAAUACGUAGGUGGCAAGCGUUAUCCGGAAUUAUUGGGCGUAAAGCGCUCGUAGGCGGUUUUUUAAGUCUGAUGUGAAAGCCCACGGCUCAACCGUGGAGAGUAAUUGGAAACUGGAAAACUUAAGUGCAGAAGAGGAAAGUGGAAUUCCAGAUGUAGCGGUGAAAUGCGCAGAGUUAUGGAGGAACACCAGUGGCGAAGGCAACUUUCUGGUCUGUAACAAACGCUAAUGUGCGAAAGCAGGGGGAUCAAACAGG
rnacentral:rRNA from 1 species